UGGGGAAUUUUGGACAAUGGGCGAAAGCCUGAUCCAGCAAUGCCGCGUGUGUGAAGAAGGCCUUCGGGUUGUAAAGCACUUUUGUCCGGAAAGAAAUCCUUGGCUCUAAUACAGUCGGGGGAUGACGGUACCGGAAGAAUAAGCACCGGCUAACUACGUGCCAGCAGCCGCGGUAAUACGUAGGGUGCAAGCGUUAAUCGGAAUUACUGGGCGUAAAGCGUGCGCAGGCGGUUUGCUAAGACCGACGUGAAAUCCCCGGGCUCAACCUGGGAACUGCAUUGGUGACUGGCAGGCUAGAGUAUGGCAGAGGGGGGUAGAAUUCCACGUGUAGCAGUGAAAUGCGUAGAGAUGUGGAGGAAUACCGAUGGCGAAGGCAGCCCCCUGGGCAAUACUGACGCUCAUGCACGAAAGCGUGGGGAGCAAACAGGAUUAGAUACCCUGGUAGUCCACGCCCUAAACGAUGUCAACUAGUUGUUGGGGAUCAUUCCUUAGUAACGUAGCUAACGCGUGAAGUUGACCGCCUGGGGAGUACGGUCGCAAGAUUAAAACUUAAAUGAAUUGACGGGGUCAUAGCUG
rnacentral:rRNA from 1 species